AUGAAGCAACAGUAUGAGCAGAAGGUACUGUGGGCCUCCUGGGGUGCCCGCGGGGCGUCUUCAUCUUGCUGCUUUGAGGGAGGCCCAGCGGAGACUCGGGUGGUGGUCGGUGGUCGGGCCGGUGAAGACGAGCCUGGCCCCCUGCCCUCACCGCUCCCUCCUGCUGCCUCCACCCAGAUCACCGAGCUGCGCCAGAAGCUGGGGGACCUGCAGAAGCAGGUGGCAGACCUGGAGGCCGAGCGGGAACAGAAGCAGCGUGACUUUGACCGAAAGCUCCUGCUGGCCAAGUCCAAGAUUGAAAUGGAGGAGACCGACAAAGAGCAGCUGACUGCGGAGGCCAAGGAGCUGCGCCAGAAGGUCAAGCACCUGCAGGACCAGCUGAGCCCCCUCACCCGGCAGCGCGAGUACCAGGAGAAGGAGAUCCAGCGGCUCAACAAGGCCCUGGAGGAAGCACUGAGCAUCUGCACCUCCCCAUCAUCCCCAGCAGCGUUCGGGAGCCCAGAAGGGGCCGGCAGCCUCCUAAGGAAGCAGGAGCUGGCCACACAGAAUGAGUUGCUGAAGCAGCAGGUGAAGAUCUUUGAGGAGGACUUCCAGAGGGAGCGCAGUGACCGGGAGCGCAUGAACGAGGAGAAGGAGGAGCUGAAGAAGCAGGUGGAGAAGCUGCAGGCCCAGGUCACCUUGUCAAACACCCAGCUGAAAGCAUUGAAAGAGGAGGAGAAGGCAAAAGAAGCCCUGAGACAGCAGAAGAGGAAAGCCAAGCCAGAGUACACCUGGCGCCCACCCUGUGGCAGUGUGCGGAAUCAGAGCUCCCAAGUGAUCGACGUGUCUGCAGCCCGGCCCACAGAACCAGGUAGGAGUGGUCCCUUGUCCUGAGGCUUGGCUCCCAAUGGGGGAGACCGCUCUUUACCUGCCUGGAUCGGCCCAGUUUGGAAAUGCUGCUGCUGCUGUCCGACCUUGGUGGAGGAAAGACUGGCUUCCUAAACUGGUGUUGAAAAGUUCACUGCAGGGCGGUGGGACUGCAACCAUUCGGUCAGUUUAGUUUGUUGCCUUCAUGCCAGGCCCCAUGCUGGGUCAGGGGUGCUGAGAUGCCAGAAGCAGACACAGCCUCUGCCCCUGUGGACCUGCUGUCUAGUGGUCUAGGGAGGCAGAAAGGGAUUUUAAAAGCCACACAGCAGGUUGCAUUGAUGAGCAAGAACAGGUUUCCGUGAGAGCAGGGAAUUGGGGGCCCUGACCUGGAAUAGGGGCUGAGGAAAGCUUUCCUGGGGGCUGAUAUCCGAGUUCAGACCCUCAGAAUGAGUGGCGUUAACUGGGGGAAGAAGUAGGGGUGGAAGAUGUUCUUGCAGAAAAUGCCAGACAGCUUCCUGUUCCCAGGACAAAAGAGCUGACCUAAUUUAUAAGGCAGAAAGGUUUAUUUUGGCUUACAGUUCCAGUCCAUGGUCACUUGGUCCUGUUGCUUUGGGGCUGUGGCGGGACUGCACAAGGCGAGAGCACUUGGCACGUCACGGCAGCUGGGAGACACAGGGAGAGCCUGGGGCCCCGGCAUCCUCUUCAAAUGCACCCCAGUGACACUAGGCCCCACCUGCUAAAGAUCCCACCGUCUCCAGCAGCACGACAGGCUGCUGACUGUGGAUCAUCAGAGGGUGUUUAAGACCCAGCUGUCACAUGCCACCUCUGUCCCCCAAAGGCUCAGAAUGCAGAAUGUAUUCAGUCCAUCCCCAAAGGCACCAGAGUCUUCACUACUCCAGCAUUGCCGGGAAGUCCAAAGUCUCCAAGACUCAAGGCAAACUCAGCUGUGAACCCCUAUAAAAAUUAAAAAGAAAUUUCCCUAUUUCCAGCAUCCAGUAGUGGGAUGUACACUCUUAUUCCCAGAGAGAGGAGUGGGGCCACAGAAAGGAAGGAUCCGAUCAAAGCCAGACGGAAGCCCAGCACGGCAGACGUGAGCCCUGCAGCUCUGUAUUCAGAGCUUGGUGUCAGUUCCUGGGGACGGAGCAGCCCCACCCCUGCGUCCUGGCCAGCUGCAGCCCACAUGGCCCGUCAGGCGGGCGGUCCACGCUCCUGGCGUCGAGGAGCUGGGUCCCCUUUUGGCACUGGCUUCACUUUCACAGCCGUGUCCUCCAGCCUGACAGGAGCUGCUUGCAGUGGAUGGGUCCCUGCUGACUCUUGGGACGCCCUCAGGCCACUUGCUGUGGGCCCGGAGGACACUGCUUCUUCUCAGUGACACCAAGCCUCACUGUCCUUGGCAGGAACCUUAUGUGUGCUGCUUUUCUAGACAAACUGCAAGUGUUUCUUACCUGUGUGCUCUGCUUUCUUGCUCCUCAUUCUCACAGUAAAUCUGGCUGAAAGCAGCCAUCAGUACCCAUGCCACUGCUGGUAUCUGUGCUGCCUUGAAGUCUCCCAGAGAAUCAUCCGUCACCUGUAGACUCAGCCUCGGACGUGUCUCGGAGAAUAGACAGCAUUGUAGGCAGGCUCUUUGCCAGAGUGGAACCUGAGUAGCCUCCGGUACAGUUUCUAGCAGAGUCAUUUCCACCUGGAGCCUUGGAAGCAGUUUUUACUGUCACCUUCUGGCAGCAUUCUGGUCCUCCGAGUCCUCAGCAGGCCACCCAUUAGUGUCUCUCACAGCACUGGAAGUCUCUCUUCCAAGCCACUUCUCCAGACUGCCAGAUUCCUCCCCCAGAGCAGGCCCAGAGCUUUCUGAACCACAUCACCAGGGACAGUCACAGCCGUGACCCAUUCUCAGGACCAGUUUGUGAGCCAGCUGUCUGCCAUGGGACAGAACACCUGAGAGUCAGUUUACCAGGGGGAGAGACUUAUUCUGGCUCACAGUGAUCACUUCGGGCCUGUGGCAGUGCCAUCAUGGUGGGAGGUGUGGCAGGGGUCUCAUGGCAGUCAGGAAGCAAACAGAAAGAGGAAGGGGCCAGGCUCCCAACUGUGCCUUUAAAGGCAUCCCCCAGUGAGCCUCUGUCCUCCGGCUAGGCCCUUCCUCCUGGAAGUCCCAUCAUAUCUCAGUGAUGCCACAGGCUGGUGGGCCUUGGGGGGACAUUACAGUCCAGACCACAGCAGCGUGGUAGGACGGAAGGAAGGUGGCCAGCUUAAGGAUCUGAGGGAAAGCCAGCAUGGCUGCUGAGAAGAUGCUCGGAAGGAGAAGGGCAAGGCAGGGAGAGAGUCAUGGGCCGGGCCUUGUGGAGCAUGGUAGGACCAGGCUGUGCUCUAAGUGUGGUGUGGAGUUGUUGGACAUUUUAAAGCAGAGUGGCACGAGCAGUUCAGACAGUACUCUCUGGUCAAGUCCGCCAUGGAAGUGGAAGGGACUCAAGCCACGUUUACUAGUCAGGAGGAGACUUCGGGCCCUAAUGGCUGCCCUUGCCCCCGUUGGGACUCUGGUGGGGCAGGAGGCACUCCUUCACCUAGCGGACUCUGGGAGUGUAUCUCUCGUGUGGAAGUGGUAGGGAGGGCCAGUUCAUCUCGGCACCAGCAGGAACUUUCUAGAGAACAGUGCAGAAGUGGGGCUGACUUGCUCAGGACAGUGAGCAGAGGCUGGAGGAUGGAUGAUUAGUGGGAGGGUCUGGUGCCUGGAAAAGGGACUGCGCUGGGUCCUGCUCCCAGGGGCCUGGAGCCCUCGGGGGCUGCUUGGGUGAGUGGCCAAGGGCAGCCUGGUGGGCAGGGCUGAUGCCUCACUUCUGCAUCUAGAGCCAGGCUGGCUGGGUUCAUACCCCGCUCCACUGCAUCCUGGAUCUGAGAAUUCAGCAGGUCUUUUCCAGCACUGCCUGCGCCCCUACCCUGCUCCAUGAAGGGUCCUAAGCAGCCACCCCCAGGGCUGCAUGAGGGGCCACAGCUGCCAAGGCACAGCCUGCACUGAGGUGCACUCCGUAACUCACUGUUGUUUUCACUGGUACUGAAUUGGCUUCCAUGUAAGGCUUUAAAACUAACCAUGCCACCUAAUUUUUAAGUCCUCAAAACUUUUGUUUACUUAAGAGUCUGCAAAAAAUGACUGUGAGGGGCCUCAGUGAGACUGGAUUGUGUCAUUUGGCUCCACCUUCAUCUUGCAGAGCUGGCUGACCUCAGAUUACCGAAAAGCUAGAGGCUGCAUGCCCUGUGCAGCCAGAGCCUCAGCGGGCAGGAGGCUGGGAUGGGCCUCACCUCACACCUCCAGCCCUGCAGCCCUGAGGAGCUCCCACCUGGCUCCUCUUCCUCUUCGGGCGUGACACGGAGAAGCUCCCUGCCUUGCCUCCCCACCGCAUGGAGAGGCCUCGGCAGGCUGCCGUCCUGUGCUGAAGCCGCAGGAUGUCCAUCCUGAGAGCGAGAUGCAGCUGGGACCCCUUCCCCUGAAAGCCUCCACAGAAGCGGUUCUGGCCCCUCGGUGCCAGGUCCGGUUUACGAGUAUGUGUGAGCUUUGCUCCGAGCUCUGCAGCAGGCCUGCCCCAUGCCCAUCCCUAUCCCUCUGUGAGGAGCUGCAGGAAGAGUGGGUUCUCCAGAGCAGAACAGUCGGACAGAGGUGCUGUCCACCUCCACCCAGACAGCCUGGCCAGAGCCUCCACCCCCAAACGCAGGCCACUGCAGCCACAUCCGCAGAGGGGCCCUGGGCCCUGCCCCCGCAGCUGGAAAGGUGUGGUGUCUGAGGACCACGCAGGGGUGGCUUCUGACCCUACACACCUAUUUGCACAAAUCUUGGACAUAAAGCCAAGUUGGAAACCAACAUCCUGUGACUGGUGUUUUAUGUUCCUGCUUCUGCACCUCUCCCACGUUCCCUGAGAGCAGCACCAGAGGGAGGACCUGGGAGGGCGUCGGGGCCCUGGCUGUGGGUGCUGCCUCUGCCCACCCAUCAGGAGGCCUGCCUUCGAACAGGAAGGUGAGCUGGUGGAGCCCACACACCAGCAGGAACCAGAGCCAGCCUCGGGGCGUGUCUGUUGUGAAGCAUGCAGGUUAGGCACCCCAGGUCCUCAGAAAGCAGUGUGAUGGCCCGCACCUGUAAUCCCAGCGCUCAGGAGGCAGAGGCAGGAGGAUCGCCACGAGUUGGAGACCAGCCUGGACUACAUAGUUCAAGGCCAGCCUGAGCUACGUAGCCAGACCCUGUCUCGCCCCCCGCCCCAAAAGUCUGUUACUUACACACACUUACGUUAACUAUAUCAUGUGUUUUCCCCGCGGCCCAGGCGGGGCCCUGAGCACCGCCUCUCCUCUCCUCGCCACCCUCCGCCCCUCCCGCACCCCCCUGGAUGGCCGCAAAUGAAGCACCACGGAGGCUCGGCUGCUGCAGAGAAGCCUUUACUGGGCAGACGGGUUGACGGGGGAACAGGGCAGGGGAGGGCAGAGGGCACGACCUCCGCAGAGACAGGGG
rnacentral:lncRNA from 1 species